CCUUGAGACGCCACUGGGUUUGUAACAGUCAAUUAGCAAUUUAACAGUGUCCCCUAGUGAUUUUAAUCUAUUAAAGGAACACUUAAGUUGGGAAUACAAAAAUGUCCCUGGUAGAUGAAAGGGUUAAAUAACCCUUUAAACAUUUACCAGACUUCAGUACCAAUGUCCCUCGGUGCUGAGUUGCGGUUAUCCUCCACUGACUUCAGCUGAUGAGGGGGACCUAAUACUUAUGCUGCGCAAGCAGUAUAGGAAACUACUGAAUCAAUGCUCUCCUAUGGAGAUUUUGUAGAUGGUGGACGCAUGUCAAACCAGCCACAGGUUGCGCUUACCCUCAGCACAUUCUCACACGGCUGACCAGGAUCCAGGGUGUGCUGCAGCAGUCUCCAUCCCAAGUGGCAGCG